AGAAAAGUGAGGCAAGUUACUGUGGACUGCUCAGUUUUCAGUUUCCUUUAUUGUGGAUUAGGCUGAACGAAGGCUCGGUGAGAGUACAUGUGUGUACUUGUAGUCUCCUAUUAAUGACAGGGAAAGUGAUGUCUUCAUCUUUUACUGUCCAUGGCCGUGACCGACACUGACCCUGGACUUGACAGAUCCGUGAACCUGACUCCUGCUCUCCAUCACUCCUGCUCUCCACCCUGGAUCUCUGGAUUAUUGGACACGGACCCUCAGAAACACGGUAACCGAGAUGGAGACCAGAUCUGGGCUGCAAAUCAACAAAAAUCUGGAUUUGUGUUCUUCAGUCAAAAAAAAGAACAUUUUAAAUAACUUCCCGAUGUUGCUGGACGCAAGUUGAGUUUUUAAAGCGAGGUCUAGACAUACUGUACAAAGGAGAUUUCAGUGUGAAACAUGAAUCACAUUAUACGUCAGAUGAAACAUUUGAAACCUCAUAAAAUCAGAGCAAAAGAUCUUUCUAAUCAUCUGUUCUGUUUAGAGAUCCUGUCUCAAUGAUCCCAGCUGGAGCAUGCACAUAGACACGGAGCAUUUCUUAGUGAAGAGCUCCCUCUGCUGCUCGUCUUCAUCAACAGCAGCUGCUCAAUUCAACCUUUAAAGAAGUUUAUCUGAAUCAAUUUACCAGAGAAUUCAAUUUAACCCUUGAAAAUCAACACAUUUGACGCUUUUUAUCGAAGUUUUAACGUUUUUGUUACAUUUUUGUCCCUUUUUUCAUCACUUUUGAUGCUUUUUUUUCCAAAUGUUUUUCACUUCAUUGACGUUUUCCAGUUAUUUUUGUGAUUUAGCGUCAAUAAACCUCAUUUAUAGGAAAUUAUACCUAAUGUUGGAGUUAGAAAAGCAGAAAUUAGGAUUUAUUGAGACUAAAAUUAAAGGAAUGGAUGUUGAUGGAUAAUCACAGACUGGAAUAUGUCAACUUUUACUCAAUACUAUUUCAAAAACACAGCCGACAUUUCUCAGAGCUCCUCACAUAAAUUAUAUGCACUUUAAACACCUACAGUCCCAAGUCUUCAGUCCUGAGUUUGGACACAUGAAGUCUGAGUCGUCCUUCUCUGAGGACGUCUUUGUCUCACUGGCCUCGUCCUGCAAACUGUUCUGUAUACUGCGAUUGUAAGUAAAAUAGAACACAUUUUAAAUUCUGCUUUCAUUUAAUCCAAUGCUCUGUGGUGGUAUUUAACUGAGGAUGUGGAUAAUUGUGAUGUAAUAAAGUUUGGGAU